GACCCAGUGGUUAAUGAAACACAUCCACCCUCGAUGCUUUGUCAAUUUGAGUUCAGUGGGAGGUCCCGGUUCGAGUCCGGGCUGGGCCA